GCCAAGCAUUCACAAAAGCACAAUUUACACAUUAAGAUUUAUAAGCGGCUCUGCUUAUCAUAAACUAUUAUCUACUCUAACACUAGAUAACACGUUGACUUGCAGAAGAUGAGAGGAAAUGGAUCGAAUGGCUAUAUUUACAUAAACUUAACAAAGAAUGUAACUAAAGGGUUAUACGUAUCUUUCUCAAGCUCUCUCUCUCUAGACACACUUUUCUCGGUCUAUUCUAACCCCCUUUGGCCUUUUUAGGCCUCAUAUCUCUUGGUGAGGACAAAGUGCUUGUAUAGGCUACUUUUCAUCGGGAAACUUCUAUUCAUCUGAGUGUGUCAGUGCUGACAUCUGGCCCUAUGAAGUCACAUCACUCUAACUACUAUUUUUGUCUUCUUGUGAGCUUUCCUCGCGUGAUGUUUAGGUUCAUCGCUUGAAGUAGUUAAUCACUAGGCAAGAUACAUCGCAUUGCCUUUGCGCGAGAUGUCAUGUGUGAGCCGCUGCUUUCUUCUUUUCCCACUUGUUCUGCGUUUAAACAUGAUAACCGCGUAAAACAAGAAUGACAUUUAUGUAGGCCAUAUUUCUAAAUAUGUAUUCGUUUACAACAUAAGUUAUGCGUUAUGAGCAUCUCCUUAAGCAUUUUAACUCCAUUAUUCUAAUAAAAAGGGAUAUAAUAACGGUCAUUUCUGCACGUUAUGGUUAAGCUUUCAUUUGUCAUUUUUCAUACUAGCAAUGAUACAUAGUAAUUAACAAAAAAUGUAAGGUAAUCAAAUGAGAAUCAUAAUGUAAUAGAAAAAACCCUUAGCAAUUGACAAAAAAAAAAGGAAGGUAAUCAUAGGAUAAAAUGAUGGUAAUCUGAAACUACUUAAUAAUUGACAAAAGAUGAAAGAUAAUGAGAUGCUAUCAAUAAACUACUUAGUAAUUAUAAAAAAAAAAAGAAUUUAAAAAGUUCAAUAAAUAGUAAAUGAUAUCAUAUUAAACUAUAUAAACAAUGAGAUGGUAAAUCAGUAUCAUUAACAAUUAGAUAACAAUCAUAUAAUAACUAGACAACAAUCAAAUAGCAGUUGGUAUCAUUGAUAAUUAGUGGUAAUAAGAUGACAACAAGAUAACAAUCAAACGGUAAUCAAAUGCAGUUACACAUUGCUAACAAUCAAACGGUAAUCAAAUCAAAUAUUCUAACUUUAUAUUUAACCUAAUAUUUAGUUGGUAGCUACGUCUAAUUAAUUCUAUAAUAUAUACAUUAGGUUAAAAAUUACCUAAACUUUCAUAGAGAUAACAAUUUAGUCUCGGAGCUUUUGUUAGUAACGAUUUAGUCAUUUUGCUUUCAAUUUUGUAAGAAUUUAGUAUCUAAAUUUUACUAUGUAACAAUGUAGUUUUUGUACUUUAAAAUUUGUAACGAGACUUUUGUGUAGAAAUUAAGGUUAAAGAUUUAAUGAUAAAUUAAAUUACGAAAACUACAUCAUAAAAUUAUAAAAUAGACAUCUAAUUUUGAUUAAUAUUUUUACAUUAGAGACUAAAUUGUUACACAAUUAAAAAUUUAAGAAUUAAAAUUUGAUGAUUAAAUUAUUAGGGAGUUGAAAGUAACCCAACCUCAUAAUCUAAUUUAUUACAUUCAUAAGAGCUUAGGACUAGAAGUAUUGAGCAUAUAUUAUAUGAAACACACUUUGAAUAAUUGUUUAAAUUUGAAUCAAAUUUUGGAAUUGACUACAGAUACCAACCAGACCUAUAAAAUUAUGGAAUAGAUUUAUUGUUUUCAAAUUUGUGUUUUUUCAUAUUAACUACAGCAUGGACUUGGCUUUUAGCUACAUUAUUCUUUCUAUACAUGACACAAGAUUCAAUGUUUGUACUUGUAGGGUUCAUGAAUUUUGAUACGUUUUCAAUUAUCAACACAACUCGAUGUUGAGUUCAUCUUCAUUUUAUGUUUUUCUCAAGUAUUAAUAGAUGUGGUGGAGAUUUUGAUUUAAGAUUCCUAUUUUAGAUACAAGUUUCUAUAUUUGGUGUGUGACUUUUCACACUAAUUUUCGAGGAAAUGUUGCUUUUUACUCAAAAAGUCAGAAAGAAAGGCAGAAUAAGUUGUAAGGUUUUGGAACUUUUCCAACUUAGGUAAUCUAAUUCUUACCUUUCUUUUCUCAAUAAUUCUCAUAAAUUGAAUUUGAUCAUCGAUAGGUUGCGUGCUCCACUUUAUUUUACAAGUCUCUAUUAGUAAUAUUAAUAGCUGUAUUUGAAAAUGUUUCUUAAAUUUAUUUGUUUGCUAUAUUUGAAUUGGAGGAGAUGAGAAGCUAGUUCAGUGAUAUUUCUACUUCUUAUGACUAUAAAAAGAACGUGUAUAUGUUCAUAGUUUCAAACAAUUAAUUCUACCUUUUGAAAUCAUGCAACAUAAUAUGCUACACCAAUAGGCCAUACAAUCUUCUAAUUAAUAAAAAUUUUAGUGAAGAGGAACUACAUGGUCUAGAAAAACAAAUUAAAAACCAACUUAAAUUGUGGUACAAAACAAUAGAAGGGAUGCUCUUAUGUACCAUAUAGGUAUAGGUUACUAAAAAUUUUUAGGUUUCAAAAUUUUCAAUCUUAUUAUUAAUUUUGGGACUUUCAAAUUAAAUAAUGAUUCCGUAAAAUCUUUUUCUAUCUAUGGCUUUUAUCCAUUCAGUCUUCCUUUCCAAUUUUAAGCGUCAUCUCACCCUCAUCGAGUUGCGGAAAGAAACUAGUUUACUAUAAAAAAAGAACAAACAUGGUUAGUGGUUUCUAAAUCAAGUAUCUAGGCAUUUUGGUCCUUUUUCACUAAACAAGUUUCUAAAACAAGUAAAUCAUAUUUAUCUUCCUUUUUCUUCUUUUUCUCAAUAAGGUAUUUGGGGAAAUUUCUCUUCUAAUGUCCAUCCACAUUGCAGUGGAAGCACUUCACCUUGGCGACUAACUUAGCCUUCCUUUUGCCUUUAGCAGCAGCAUCAGGACCCUUCGUUUUCCCUAAUUUUCCCUCAUUUUUCCUCAUUUCUUCUUCUAGAUUUUCUUAGUCCCGCAAAAUGAAGGUGCAGACUUAGUUUCAAAGGAUGAACCCUUUUGAAACAUCCUGGAAUGGGCAACGUUUUGCCUCUCCUUCUUUUCGUCCCUUAUUUUUCAUAAAAGACUGAAAAGUCUAUAACUCGUUUAUGAGGAUAGUCAUGUUGUAAUCUAUCUUGUUCUGUAACGAUCCAACUCUUUAUUCUAAGUUGGGGGUCAUUACUUUAAAGAUAAAUAACAAUUUUGACAAUUUCUUGAAAAGAAGAAAACUAAAUUUUGAUUAAAAAUACCAUGAAAACAUGUUGUGCGGCUAGUUCUACAAUUUUAAAGAUAAUAAAAAUAAAUAGAUAAAAAUGUUUAAGCUCAAAACACUGAAAAUGAACAAUGAAAAGCGGAAGCAAAAUUAUGUCUCCAUAUGGCAUGUCACAAAUCUUUCUUGUGGCUUCCCAACUUUUUUCUAUUUUUACCUUUUCCUGAAAUGUUAAAUAUAAAAAAAGAUGAGUAUAAACAUAUACUCAGUAAGGGACCCAUUACUAGUUUUACUAGGUGUCAGUUAACUUUCCAUUAACGUUUCAUAAGGAGUACCCUAAAAUUAUUGUGCUCCCGAACACACACUAUUCAGUGAUCCCAUAGGAACACAUCUAAGUUCUCAAUAAACCCAAAUGAAAUACCUAAGAGAAAUUGGGUGUAAGUAUCCCCGUCAAACCACUCAUAAAACAUGACAUGACAGACUAGCAGUUUCGUCGAACUCACAUCAGUCAUAAAAAGAAACAUAUCAUGAGAGGCUAGUGGUUUCGUCGAACUCACAUCAGUCAUAAAAAAAUGUGGUGAUCCCGAGGGACACCUAUAUGAGUACGACCCUAAUAGACAAAUAUAACAUAACACUUAUCCAUAGCAUGUAAGAUAUCAUAAACAUCAUAAAUCUGACAUGAGUAUCAAUUAUAACGUCCUUAUCAUGUGAUUAUAAUAAUUCACACAUCAUAACAUAGUCAUAUCAGUUAUAACAUAUCAGCCAUAUUGGUCAUAUCAAUCAUAACAUCUCAGCCUUCCAUAUCAGUCUCAUUAUCCAUCUUAGCUACAUCAAUGCAUAAUGAAAAAUACAUGCAAACUUUUAAUUUUAUUUUCGAAAGUCUAGUAGUAGAAUCUCUUUAUUACCUUAGAUAUUAGCCAAACAAAAUACUCUUUAGCCAAUAGUUAAAAUUCUCCAAUUAAAUCAAUCUUAAUUAUAAAAGGAAAUUUCACUAUCUUCGUUAAUAAAAUUAACAAUUGACUAUGAUCCAAAAAUUCUCCCAAAUGAACUUAUCCAAAAUUGAGGUUGAAACCAAUUCAAGCUAAAUAAAAUUAACUUUAUUUUUUCAACUAAAUAAAAUUCACAAUCUCUUUCUUCAAUUAAAUCUCCCAUCAAAUCAACUUUUAUCUUUCCAAAAUAAUUAUCUUUUCCAAAAAUUAUAUGUUUCCACAAUAUAAUUAUUUUAUUUUCUCUUCACAAAUAUCAUUUCUUCAAAUAAUUAUUCUUCAAUGUCUUAAACUCAAAAUUAAUCUUGACAGCGGAAUGACUUCAAUAAAAUUUCUUUACUACGUACAAAACAAAUCCUUCUCCUUAAAAACCAACUCAUUCUUAAUAUUGGUAAUAUCAACAUUUUUAUUGUUAAUUCACCUGCCAAAUCAGUCUCAACUAUGGAAGAAGAAGUUGAAGAAUCAAUUAAACAUCCAAAACUAUAUAUAUAAAAUGAGCAACUAAAGGAUAUUGGGCAGAUUGAUCUUUAAUUAAUAUAAAAAACUAAGUCACAUCUUUAUCUUCAACAAUCUUAAGAACAUGAUGAGCAUCAUUACUACCUAUAGGCAACAAAACUUAAAGUUCUAUACAUUAUUCAACUUGAAUUUUGGUACGUAUCAAGUUCACACAAAAAAGAAUCAAAUGAUGAUAUCACUCCAUCAUCCAAAACACAAUUUAUUUUGUAAUCCACAUAGCACUGUCGCUCAUCCAUUGACCACGUGAAAAACAAUUACUGCAAGUUUAACUAUAACUACAAUGAACUGCAACAAUUUUAGGAAAAUAAAAAAUAGCUGUAAAGUGUAUUAGUCAACUAAUACAUAUAAUAAUAUAAGUAUAUCAUAUCAUUGAUAUAACAAACUAAUACAGAUUUAUAAAAUAAAAAAAAUAGAACCAAACAUAAAUAAAUAAAACAAAGCUAUGCAAAUCAAAUAAAAAAAAGUUGAGGAAGAACAAAUCCCCUUUCGAUAAAAGAGAUGAGAAACAAAUAAAAAAAGUUGAGGAAGAACAAAUUGUAGCCUUAAUUUCAGAUAGAUGAUGACCGAUUCACAGAAGAAGAAAAAAAAAUGAUGAUUAAAGUCCCUUACCAAUUUCGGACACCAAAAUAUAGGAAAGAAUAUUAGGGCUUUAAAAGAGAAUAUAGGAAGAAAUACAUACCUAAAAAAGAACCGUGGAGAAGAGAGUAGAAGAACGUAGCAAAUAGGAAAAACAAAAAAUGGUGAAGAUUGAAGGAGUGAGAGAAGACCAAAAUUUAUAAAAGAUUAUGUAAAGUUAUCACUCACCCUUUUUGUAACUUUCUUCCCACCAAAUUAGGGGGAGUUUCAUCCAUUUUUUUCACCUAUCUAAAACAACCAUAUUUUCUCACAUAGUUUAGACACAACCAAAUAAUAGGUGGGUUUAAAUCUUAUUUUUAUCUUCUAUCUUGGUCUUUUUGAAACUUUUAAAACGUCUAUUUCUUGAUUUUAAAGUAGACUCUACUUUAGUCCUUACAAUUAAAAUUUCAUUAAUGAUAAAAUAGC
rnacentral:lncRNA from 1 species